rnacentral:rRNA from 1 species
GCCUACGGGAGGCAGCAGUAGGGAAUAUUGGACAAUGGGGGCGAACCCUGAUCCAGCAAUGCCGCGUGAGUGAUGAAGGCCUUAGGGUUGUAAAGCUCUUUUACCCGAGAUGAUAAUGACAGUAUCGGGAGAAUAAGCUCCGGCUAACUCCGUGCCAGCAGCCGCGG